rnacentral:rRNA from 1 species
UGGGGAAUAUUGCACAAUGGGCGAAAGCCUGAUGCAGCAACGCCGCGUGAGUGAUGAAGGUCUUCGGAUUGUAAAGCUCUGUCUUUUGGGACGAUAAUGACGGUACCAAAGGAGGAAGCCACGGCUAACUACGUGCCAGCAGCCGCGGUAAUACGUAGGUGGCGAGCGUUGUCCGGAUUUACUGGGCGUAAAGGGUGUGUAGGCGGAUGUUUAAGUGAGAUGUGAAAUACCCGGGCUUAACUUGGGUGCUGCAUUUCAAACUGGAUAUCUAGAGUGCAGGAGAGGAGAAUGGAAUUCCUAGUGUAGCGGUGAAAUGCGUAGAGAUUAGGAAGAACACCAGUGGCGAAGGCGAUUCUCUGGACUGUAACUGACGCUGAGGCACGAAAGCGUGGGUAGCAAACAGGAUUAGAUACCCUGGUAGUCCACGCCGUAAACGAUGAGUACUAGGUGUAGGAGGUAUCGACCCCUUCUGUGCCGCAGUAAACACAUUAAGUACUCCGCCUGGGAAGUACGAUCGCAAGAUUAAAACUCUAAAGUGAAUUGACGGGGUC